GUCGAACGCUGGCGGCGUGCCUAAUACAUGCAAGUCGAACGCAGUGGGGACGGGUGAGUAACACGUGGGUAACCUCCCAUCAGAGGGGAUAACACUUGGAUACAGGUGCAAAAGCGAUAAUGAUGGAUGGACCUGGGGUGGAUUAGCUAGUUGGUGGGGUAACGGCUCACCAAGGCCACGAUGCAUACCCGACCUGAGAGGGUGAUCAGCCACACUGGGACUGAGACACGGCCCAGACUCCUACGGGAGGCAGCAGUAGGGAAUCUUCGGCAAUGGACGAAAGUCUGACCGAGCAACGCCGCGUGAGUGAAGAAGGUUUUCGGAUCGUAAAACUCUGUUGUUAGAGAAGCGGUAUCUAACCAGAAAGCCACGGCUAACUACGUGCCAGCCGCCGCGGUAAUUC
rnacentral:rRNA from 1 species